rnacentral:rRNA from 1 species
GAUGAACGCUGGCGGCGUGCUUAACACAUGCAAGUCGAACGAGAAACCUUUUAUUGAAGCUUCGGCAGAUUUAGCUGGUUUCUAGUGGCGGACGGGUGAGUAACGCGUGGGUAACCUGCCUUAUACAGGGGGAUAACAGUCAGAAAUGGCUGCUAAUACCGCAUAAGCGCACAGAGCUGCAUGGCUCAGUGUGAAAAACUCCGGUGGUAUAAGAUGGACCCGCGUUGGAUUAGCUGGUUGGUGGGGUAACGGCCCACCAAGGCGACGAUCCAUAGCCGGCCUGAGAGGGUGAACGGCCACAUUGGGACUGAGACACGGCCCAGACUCCUACGGGAGGCAGCAGUGGGGAAUAUUGCACAAUGGGGAAACCCUGAUGCAGCGACGCCGCGUGAAGGAAGAAGUAUCUCGGUAUGUAAACUUCUAUCAGCAGGGAAGAUAAUGACGGUACCUGACUAAGAAGCCCCGGCUAACUACGUG